AUGAGAGUUUGAUCCUGGCUCAGGACGAACGCUGGCGGCGUGCCUAAUACAUGCAAGUCGAACGCUUCUUUCCUCCCGAGUGCUUGCACUCAAUUGGAAAGAGGAGUGGCGGACGGGUGAGUAACACGUGGGUAACCUACCCAUCAGAGGGGGAUAACACUUGGAAACAGGUGCUAAUACCGCAUAACAGUUUAUGCCGCAUGGCAUAAGAGUGAAAGGCGCUUUCGGGUGUCGCUGAUGGAUGGACCCGCGGUGCAUUAGCUAGUUGGUGAGGUAACGGCUCACCAAGGCCACGAUGCAUAGCCGACCUGAGAGGGUGAUCGGCCACACUGGGACUGAGACACGGCCCAGACUCCUACGGGAGGCAGCAGUAGGGAAUCUUCGGCAAUGGACGAAAGUCUGACCGAGCAACGCCGCGUGAGUGAAGAAGGUUUUCGGAUCGUAAAACUCUGUUGUUAGAGAAGAACAAGGACGUUAGUAACUGAACGUCCCCUGACGGUAUCUAACCAGAAAGCCACGGCUAACUACGUGCCAGCAGCCGCGGUAAUACGUAGGUGGCAAGCGUUGUCCGGAUUUAUUGGGCGUAAAGCGAGCGCAGGCGGUUUCUUAAGUCUGAUGUGAAAGCCCCCGGCUCAACCGGGG
rnacentral:rRNA from 1 species